GGGAUAAAAUAAAAUAAAAGGAAAUAUAACAUAAAAUAAUAAAAUUAAAUAAAAAUAAAAUUAAAAAAACCUUUAUAUACUUCGGAAUCUAAUGUAUCUGUUCAUCCAGAAACAAAUUAUGUGUUGUUGUUUGUCCUGUAGCCCUCCCUGGGAUGUACAAUGCUAUGGCUGGGUAUGCCCAAACAACACUGCAAAGCAGAGCAGGGCAGAAAGCCAGAGUGAGCUGGGUGCUGGGAUGGUCCUUGAGAACCCAAAACAUGUUCCAGGCUCUUCUGCUGGGUCCCAGCUCUGUCCUUGGGAGAUCCCUUUCUUUUUCUGUGGCUCAGUCUGCUGUCUGGAGGUGGUCACCAGCACAUUUCUUUCUUCAAGUGAUUUGAUCUGUCCAGUCAGGCUGUGAAUGUCUAUAAACAGGAUCGUCCAUGCUCUCAUUCUGCACAUGAAUCAUGCCUAGCAACAGCUGAGGGCCCCCCAUUUCUGCUCUAAGUGCACGUUUACUUGAGCAUUCUGGUUCACUUCAGUAGCAGCAGAGGGAAACCCAGCAGCUGCAGCUCUGAAAUGUUGCUGAGGCUGUGGUUCCUCUGGAGCUGUUUGUUAGUACUGAAGGAGAGGAAAAUAUAGUUGGGGAUAAACGGGCUUUUAUCUUCACAAGAAUAUAGAAGUGAAGGAAGGAAGAGGAAUGAAUAAGCAGAUCAACAGUAUCUGAGGUGGAUGUGAUGCUGAGAGCACCCGAGGACCUGCAGUAAUGCUCCCAGAACAGACCUCUGACCCAGGUGCUCAGAUUUCUUCAUAGCACCUCAAUAGAUGACUGUAAUUCUUUUAUUUAUGGUACUAUGGAGCGGAGAUUAUUAAUAUUAUUCACAGUUUACAGACGAGGAAUCUGAGGCACAAGGAGGAGAGAUGUCUGGGCCAAAACUGUGAGGGUAUUACUUUCAGUAGUAGGAAUAUGGGCACCCAGAUUUCCAGCCUGACUCACUCAUCUGGUCUAAACUUUAUGCGCUGACUGUGCUCUACUGAAAUUUGUAUUCGGUUUUGAUUGAGCACUAUGGAACUGAGAGAACAUGAGGAAGAUGCAGCCCCAUCCAGCUGCAGGAGUGCCCACGCUGCAUCUGCUCUGUCACACAAAGGAAAGGCUCCUGCUGCUCAGGGUUGGGCACAAACAACCCAAACUCCCUCUAACUGACUCAUCAGCAAGAAAAACCUCAAUGUCAUCAGUACUGCUAAUCUUCCUGGAGAGAUUCUGCAGACAUGACAGGAAUGAACAACCUGCUCCCUGUUCACUUCCCUGAAGCCCCCUGGAAUGUUUUUACUAUACUGAAGGAAGACAAGACUUGCCUUGCAAGUGAAUCCAAGGUGUUCCUUUAUAAAUUUGGGAAUGUCUUGUGUGCCAGAUCAAGCAGAUGCAAAAAGCUGCCUUGAAAGCUGUAUGAAAUAAUGCAAGUGCUCAGCAGCCUGGUCGACUGAGACUCUGUGGAAACGGAAGUCAGCAUCCUGUCCACUGUCCAAACUGAUCUGAAAUGUUCCUGCAACGUUCUUUCACAAGUGUCAUAGAGACUUAAUAAUUCCUUCUAUUCUCCAUGGUGCCUAAAAACAUGCUAUCUUUGUCUGGUGAAGACAAUCCAUUUACAGUGAAAAUCUCAGUACAUUUCUUUAAUAAAUGGGGAUAAUUAUGAAGGCACAUCCCACUUUUAUUUCUAUAUUGACUACAGUUUGACCUCCA